AGUUUUAUUCUGCCGUUCUUGUGAAUCUCUCUCUCCCUACAGCAGGUUUUUGUGCAGUGCUCUCUGCUGGUUCUGGUCCUGGGUGUGUUACAGCAACAUCUACUGUUACAGGAUGGAGAGAGAGAGAAGUUACUGUCCUCCAUGUUGUUCUACUCCGGUCUCUCCACUCUGAUACAGAGCUGUCUGGGGACAUGCCUCCCUCUGGUCCAGGCUCCGUCUCUGGAAAUCCUUAUCCCUGCUGUAGUCCUCACUGCCCAGAUUGUUACUGAACCGGCCUGCAGAGGGCACUGUGAGGAGAGUGAGGGGGACAUCCUACCCAGAGCCAACCCAGUCAGAGAG